rnacentral:rRNA from 1 species
GAUGAACGCUGGCGGCGUGCCUAAUACACGCAAGUCGAGCGAAUGGAUUAAGAGCUUGCUCUUAUGAAGUUAGCGGCGGACGGGUGAGUAACACGUGGGUAACCUGCCCAUAAGACUGGGAUAACUCCGGGAAACCGGGGCUAAUACCGGAUAACAUUUUGAACCGCAUGGUUCGAAAUUGAAAGGCGGCUUCGGCUGUCACUUAUGGAUGGACCCGCGUCGCAUUAGCUAGUUGGUGAGGUAACGGCUCACCAAGGCAACGAUGCGUAGCCGAGCUGAGAGGGUGAUCGGCCACACGGGGACUGAGACACGGCCCAGACUCCUACGGGAGGCAGCAGUAGGGAAUCUUCCGCAAUGGACGAAAGUCUGACGGAGCAACGCCGCGUGAGUGAUGAAGGCUUUCGGGUCGUAAAACUCUGUUGUUAGGGAAGAACAAGUGCUAGUUGAAUAAGCUGGCACCUUGACGGUACCUAACCAGAAAGCCACGGCUAACUACGUGCCAGCCGCCGCAGUAA